rnacentral:lncRNA from 1 species
GAGCCCUUGGUUCUCUGAGAUGACAGUCUUAUAGGAGAGUAGUUAUUAAAGGAACAAAUAAAAUAUAGAGAGUAUAAAGUCAUAUAUUUAGGUCUGUGGGAGAUUAUAUAAAGCAGACUUCAAGGAUAGGAGCCAUGAGUUGGUGUGGGGCAUUAGACAGGUUGAGCAUGGAAGGUGGUUCAGAGGAGAUGAUGUUGGAACAAAGAUCAUGCAGUGAAGGAGGAAGCGAAGGAGCAAACCAAGUCAGCAUCCAAGAGGGGAAGGGUAGACUGUGUGAAAGCAUCCUUGCAUCCACUUUUAGGGACCGUGACACUGGUAGGUGUUGACAGCCGGCUGCUGUAGCUCUAGCAGAGAGAAAGAGAGUGAGCAGGAGGGAAGCAGGAGCUUCAGCUGGAGAAGUGACCAGGCCAGAUCAUCCAGGGCUGUGUAGCUAACAGCAAGGACUUGGGGUUUAUUCUAAGUGAGAUGGGACCUGAUGGAGGGGAGUUUCGACGGGAAUCCGAGGAAGCUGAAUGAACCAGGUGACCCACCAUUUGCAUAAUGAACUUCUUCGGUUACACCACAUUCUGCAUUUAUCAAUGUCUAUUGCUUUCUGGAGAAGACUUUCGUUUUAUGGAGGAUGCAUUGCUCAAACAAAAGAGGCAAAAGGUAAAACUGCUAAUACUCAACUCGUGCUUCCCGAGAAUGUUGAUAACAUGGAAUCAAUAUAAUACGUCCACGUCCUAUGGGUUUUUAUUUUAAGGAAAAGUAUGAGAUAAUUAUAAUGGUCAUGUUUAAAUUGAAGAAGAAGAUCCAAUCUUUGUGAC